rnacentral:rRNA from 1 species
CUAGGGUCCGAGUUGUAAUUUGUAGAGGAUGCUUUUGGUGAGGUGCCGCCCGAGUUCCCUGGAACGGGACGCCGCAGAGGGUGAGAGCCCCGUCUGGCUGGCCACCGAGCCUCUGUAAAGCUCCUUCGACGAGUCGAGUAGUUUGGGAAUGCUGCUCAAAAUGGGAGGUAUAUGUCUUCUAAAGCUAAAUAUUGGCCAGAGACCGAUAGCGCACAAGUAGAGUGAUCGAAAGAUGAAAAGCACCUUGAAAAGAGGGUUAAACAGUACGUGAAAUUGUUGAAAGGGAAGCGCUUGUGACCAGACUUGGGCGCGGCGGAUCAUCCGGGGUUCUCCCCGGUGCACUUCGCCGCGUUCAGGCCAGCAUCAGUUCGGCGCGGGGGAAAAAGGCUUCGGGAACGUGGCUCCUCCGGGAGUGUUAUAGCCCGUUGCAUAAUACCCUGCGCUGGACUGAGGACCGCGCAUCUGCAAGGAUGCUGGCGUAAUGGUCACCAGCGACCCGUCUUGAAACACGGACCAAGGAGUCGUCUUCGUAUGCGAGUGUUCGGGUGUCAAACCCCUACGCGUAAUGAAAGUGAACGCAGGUGAGAGCUUCGGCGCAUCAUCCACCGACCCUGAAGUACUCGGACGGAUUUGAGUAAGACCAUACGGUGCCGGACCCUAUAGAACG